CUGAGACCCAGCGCCUUAUCAACUCCCCACCAAAUUUUGCUUGCACCUCUUUUCUUCCCUAUCAUGAAGGCUCGCUCCUCCAUCGGCAGUCCACGCCAAAGGUUCUAAUGCUCCGCCCACCGGCAGUCUGUUCCAGCCACAGCGUCUCCGUGUGUCCACAUACGCAGCGCCUACCUCCUCCGGUCAUCCAUGCAGGCGAGGGCCGUCGCACAACCGCUAGCAACCCACAACAGAAACACCAAAACGGCGCUACUCCUAUUUGACGCCAUGGCGGCCGGCUUGCCGAGACCCAGGCCACCACUCGCCGCUGACCACUGAGCAUCUGAGAUCGCUCUUCCGGACGCUCUUGAUUUCUCUUCAACCUUCGGACCGCCGGUAAUCCCACCCCAUAGAGCUGAACAGGGCAGUGAAGGCUUAUUUUACGCAAAUCAAUAUGACCCCACACAAAACUGAAGGACGGCAACCUUUCUACUCUUGAAUCAGGAUCUCACCUACAUGACUGACCAAGAUUUUCUCUUUAGCUGAAUUUGGCUAAUCUUUAUUACUGAAAAACUUUGGUCAGUGUCGGGUUUUCUGCUUCAAUUUCUCAUGCAUGUACACUAUAUAAAACUGCAGUUGCAGAGGUACUAGAUGCACUCACAAUUUCAACUUUAUUGUUAUCUUCGCAGA